UGAAAGGCAGCAGAUAUAGCACCAGGGC
rnacentral:piRNA from 1 species